CUCUCAAAACAAAACCCUACCUUAUUAUUUUUCUUGGAGCCUAUCUACCAUAUCGGUUGUGCUUCUCCUUAUGCGAAAUUAGGAUUACGGGUAUCAUCUAUCUAUGUAUCUAUCUUGUUCCACGCUUCACAGAUGCAAAUACAUGGCUACACAAAUACGCACCUUUGCGGGUUCCCGAACCCUAUCCUUACAGCAGAGGCUACGUAAAGUCCGUGGGCGAGGCCACGGUGAACCUGGAGAAGGAUAACACUUUCUUCUCCAAGUUGGACCAAGAGUCGAAGCCGGUCAUAAGAGAUGACACUGAAGAAAUUUCUGCCGAGUUGUUGAGGAAGCUUGUGGAUGAUGCUUAGCUUCUAAGUUUUUGAACCUUAAACUGACUAAGGCUCUCUGUUUACUUCAAUGACUCGCAAAACAAGGAAGCUGGUAAGAUCACUGGUUUAGAGAUUCUUCUUAUUGAUCCCACUGAAGAGAAAAAUCAUUUCACUGUCUUGGAAUUUCACCUUCGAAACAAUACUUUUAGUGUCUCCUUGGAAGAUUUUUUAUCCUUAAGUUCAAGAUAUUUAUGAGAAGGGUAGUUUUUUUUAUGCACACUUGGGUGGUGAUGUUUUCUCGCCGACAGUUGUUUGUUUCCUAUUGCCUAGAGAAUUGUUGAUCGGGUGGUUUCAAAGUUCGAGAGAGUUGAAGGCAUAGACCUUUCAAAAGACAAAGAAGCUCUUGUGUGCAUCACUAAGGAAGCCCGGAAUGCAAUCAGGAACCUCUCAUUCUUGACUUGUGCACCCAUCAGGUAUCUACUUUUGUCCUUUAAUUGGCCAAUCUAGUUUUUCAGUGUGUUUUCACCAUUUGUACAAAGCAAAGCUACUUAAUGCCUAUGUUUUCAAGUUGUCAUUCAAAACAGCAAAUGGAAAUGAGAGCGGUGUAUUAGUGAACACACCUCACAAGAACUAGAUUUGAGGAAUUAUGUUCAGAUCUUCUUGACAGGUAACGAUUACUGAUAAGUUUGAAUGGAUGACAAAUACAUGAUUUUGGUGCUUCCGCUAAAGCUGAAAAAAUUAAUCAUGUGUUUCAAGCUCAGGACAGCAGUAGAAAAUAUAUUGAAGAAAGCAAAACUCCAAGUUGGGGAUGAUUACGCGGUUGAACUCCGUAGUGUAUAAGCAUGUAUCCCAGCUGUUCAGGAGCUUCUAAAGAAGCUGACUGGCAAGGACAUAAAAACUUAUUACUUUUAAUUAAUUAGGUAUUUAGGUUGGGAUUGUUGAAUUGUUGAUUAAUUACUUGGCCUAUCUGAAGGCCAAUUGCUGGCUUUCAUGUCUUUGUCAUUGUAUUUUGGUUACUGUCAAUGCAGAGUUUGAGCAUUGUCAUGAUAGUAGUAUCUAAUUACUUAGAGAUCAAUUGUUUUUGAGUUCUUUGGUUCAA